GUACGGAAGGCAGCAGUGGGGAAUCUUGCGCAAUGGGCGAAAGCCUGACGCAGCAACGCCGCGUGGAGGAUGAAGGCCCUUGGGCUGUAAACUCCUGUCGGUUGGGAAGAAAUCGUUCGGGGCUCAUACCCCCGGACGUUGACUGUACCAGCAAAGGAAGCCCCGGCUAACUCUGUGCCAGCAGCCGCGGUAAUACAGAGGGGGCCAGCGUUAUUCGGAAUUAUUGGGCGUAAAGGGCGCGUAGGCGGCUUUGCGUGUCUUCCGUGAAAUCCCUCGGCUUAACUGAGGACGUGCGGAAGAAACUGCAGAGCUGGAGUCCGGGAGAGGGGGGUGGAAUUCCCAGUGUAGCGGUGAAAUGCGUAGAUAUUGGGAGGAACACCGGUGGCGAAGGCGGCCCCCUGGACCGGUACUGACGCUGAGGCGCGAAAGCGUGGGUAGCAAACGGGAUUAGAUACCCCAGUAU
rnacentral:rRNA from 1 species